AGUUUUAUCUCGAAAUCACUAUAUAUUCUGCAGUAUAUGUUUGAAGGUGGAUGAAAGAUGGCGUCAAGAAGGCAGUUCCUGAUAGCACAACAAAAGGAACUAAGGUAUAUCAAUCUGAAUGUCCUCUAAUAUAUUUGUCCCAGGCAGUCUGCAAAGAUUCAAGAAGUCAUGCUUACUGAUGUCCCUACAACUAAGACAGUGCCAGGCUUAAAGAGAAUCAUCUUUUUGUUGGUCACCAAAAUUUCAGAGAUAUGCCUUUUGAUAACGUUUCCUUAAUGAAUUUUCAUGGGAUGGCCUGAGAGACGGCCCUGUCAUCAGGAUACUCUGAAGAAGACAAGUCUGGAGAUAUCACCGAGAGCUGUGAACAGCGGUCAUGCCUGGAUGUUGCCAAUUGUUAGUGUGGAUAUCAAGGAAGGAUGAAGAGAACGCGUGGAGUGGAACGGAAAUUGUGUUCAAGUAGUGUGCUAGACAGGUGUCUGGAAGCCUGCGUCUUGGCACAAUGAAUUCGUUGUCUCCGUAAUAGGAGGAGCUUACUGACACUCCCUCUGUGUGGUAAAAAUACACCCAGCAAUUUGACAAC
rnacentral:lncRNA from 1 species